rnacentral:rRNA from 1 species
CAGUAGGCCGCGGUAAUACGUAGGGUGCAAGCGUUAAUCGAAAUUACUGGGCGUAAAGCGUGCGCAGGCGGUCCGCUAAGACAGAUGUGAAAUCCCCGGGCUUAACCUGGGAACUGCAUUUGUGACUGGCGGGCUAGAGUAUGGCAGAGGGGGGUGGAAUUCCGCGUGUAGCAGUGAAAUGCGUAGAUAUGCGGAGGAACACCGAUGGCGAAGGCAGCCCCCUGGGCCAAUACUGACGCUCAUGCACGAAGGCGUGGGGAGCAAACAGGAUUAGAGACCCGCGUAGUCCCUGUCUCUUAUU